rnacentral:sRNA from 1 species
GCCACGUUCUCACAUCCCCUUGAGAAGCUAUUGUUAGUUUCGUACUCGUUUUUCAAAUUGCCUAUCUCAAUGAAAUGGUUCUGAAUUUUUCCUUCGGGGAUGGUGUGCUAUUUGCUGGGCUUUCUUCAUAAGGAAUACUGGCGUCGCUAUUGUGUUUGACGAAAUAAUCCAAUCCUUCAUCGAUCGGGAUAGUGUUGGCAAAGCCGUUCUCGGUUUUCAUUUUGCCCAGUUUAGUCGGGGUCAAGGGCGUUUGCAUCCGGCCGUUUUUAGCUGCAGAGCUCAGUUUGCUAAUGCGCCCACUGCUGGUAGUGCGGCGGAUGGGAGUUCGAGAAUUAGCUAGUUCUUGGUUGUCCUGACGCAUGCUCUGUGCAAUUUUACGAUACUCGCGGAAUCGACCUUUCAUGGAGUCUAUAAGAUAGAUAAUAAUCGGGGAAGAAACGACUGCAAGGUCUAGAUCUUACGGUAAACCCUGGAUGCGCUGCUAGUAAUGCACCGAUGAAUCGCUCGAUGGAAUCCUUAUUCCAAUUUAUCCCCAUCUCGCGGAGUUCGGCA